AAAAAAUUCUGGAAAAAGUCUCUGUUGGAAAGACAGGGCUCUAAAUUAGACACAAGUCAGAAUACGAGUAAUGAUAAGAUGUCAGAAGAAAAUUUUACAGAUUUUGAAUUAAACUGUACACAAAAUCUGCCAGGAAAUAAACGUAUAGUGACAAACAAUCAAAAAUUGGAUGGCGCAAUUGAUCAGGAUGUCCCAUCCCCUAUAAUUAUCAUUAAAGACAUGGCGUAUGAUAAGUCUGAGGACGAUUCGGAAGAGUCAAAUUCGGAGUUGGAAAACAAACAACCUGAACAACCAAUAGCAAAAGAACAAAAGAAGAAACGAAAAUGGGUUCGAAAAAAUGCUUGUAUUUUUUGCGAAAAUCUCGUCACUAAUUUUACGCGUCAUUUAU